AUAAAUUUAGAUUAUUUAUUAUGAUUUUUUUAAAGGAUAGUUAAGGUGUUGGUUUGAGUAAUUUUUAAUGAAAUAAUUAUGUUGGAUUAUAGUUUAUUAGUACAGUGGGGGAGUCUUUGAAAUACAGUUGAAAUAUUUAUUAUAAUAGUAGAAUUAUAUUUGUACCUUUUGUAUCAGGGUGUAUUAAAUAGUUUUGAUAUAUUUUAUAAUCUCGAAGAAAGAAGAGUUAAUUCAAUUUGAUGGUUAUUGUUUUACAAAUAUCAUAAAAAUUGAAUUGGUAGUGAUAUGUUAGUCGGUUUUUUUUAUAUCUAGUUUUCUAAGAAUUAAAUUUAAUUUAGUUAUUAAUUUUUGAUUAUCUAAUUGAUUAAGUGUAUCUAAUUUUAAUAAUAAAAAUUUUGGGGAUAAGCUUGGGAUUAAAUUUAAAUGUAUUAAUGUAUUAAUUAUUAUGAGCUUUAGGGUAGUUAUUAUGAAUAGUGUGUUAUUACUUAUGUUAAUAAUUUGAUAGAUAUUUAAGUGUAUAUUAGAAAGUAUAGUUGAAUUAUUAAUUAUGGUUAUAAUGAUAUAAUUAGUAUAAUUUGUUGUUUGUUAUAUAUAUGAGGUAAUUUUAGUUAAGGAAUUAGGCAAAUACAUUAUUCGCCUGUUUAUCAAAAACAUGUCUUUCUGAUAGAAUAGAAAGUCGUGCCUGCCCAUUGAUUAAUUUAACGGCCGCGGUAUUUUGACCGUGCAAAGGUAGCAUAAUCAUUAGUCUUUUAAUUGUGGACUGGAAUGAACGGUUUGACGAAAUAAUAUCUGUCUCUACUAUAUUUUUAGAAUUUUACUUUUAAGUCAAAAGGCUUAAAUGAUGAAUAGGGACGAGAAGACCCUAUAGAUCUUUAUUUCAACCAAUUUAUUUUAAUAUUUGUAAUUAAUUUAAUUAAAUUGUUUGAAAUUUAAUUGGGGUGAUUGGAGAAUAUAAGUAACUUCUUUAUAUUAAACUUUGAUAAGAGGUUUAUUGAUCCUUUAUUAUGGAUUAAAGAUUAAGAUACCUUAGGGAUAACAGCGUUAUUUUAUUUGAGAGUUCUUAUCGACAAUAAAGAUUGCGACCUCGAUGUUGGAUUAAAAUUAUAAUUGGGUGUAACAGCUUAAUAAUAUUGGUCUGUUCGACCAUUAAAUUUUUACAUGAUCUGAGUUCAGACCGGUGUGAGCCAGGUUGGUUUCUAUCUUGUUUUAGCAUUAUGUUUUAGUACGAAAGGAUUGAACAUGAGAAAUAUUUUUAUAUAAAGAAUAAUAUU
rnacentral:rRNA from 1 species